AAAUAAAAUUAAUUAGAAGAGUAGAAACAAUUCGAGAUUGCUCUAUUUUCUCUCUCUAUUAUUCUCCAUUUUCUCUCUCCUCUCGCUUCUUCUGUAGUCUCUAGAACUUCCUGGAAGAUCUGAUUUAGGGUUUUUGUUGGAAGAUUUUGAUUUUAUUUUGUUGUUUUUAUUGCUAUCAAGUUUGUUAAUUAAAGAAAAAGGUGUGUAAUUCUAACAUGUCGAUUUGGGCAAUCUAUGUUUUACAAACUGGAUAAAGGGUUUAUAAAGUGAUGUCAGAUUCGCGAAUUUACGAGCUAGAAGAUAUUGUCUGGGAAUUAGGUGACAAUGACGAUCAUAUAGUGCCUCAACCUGGAGGCAAAAGGAGUGGAUUUUCACUUGAGAGUGACAGUAGUAAGAGUCAACGGCUUCAGCUACGAUGUGCUGUAAAUAAUGCUGACAACAGAAGUGCUUCAGGCAAUGUUAUUCAUAGAAAGGAGGGAACACACUUUUGUUCUGUGAAAGAAGAAAAGGAAAAAAUGAUGGAUAACAGCCCACGGACCCACUCAUCUAGUGGAGGUUUAUCUGCUUCACUUGAUGGGGAAUGUAAUGGAAAAAUUAAACGUUCCCCGUCUGAUGAAGAGAGGACUUUUGAACACUGUAUGACAAGUAGUAAUAUGGAUCCUACAGGUGAUGAAGAGAGGACUUUUGAACACUGUAUGACAAGUAGUAAUAUGGAUCCUACAGGUGAUGGAAUAUGUGUGGGGGAUCCUGUACUUGAAGAGCGAGCAGCUUCUAUGGACAAUAACUUGUACCAAUAUGAGCUGAACAAUGCAACUCAUGCGGAAAGUGGUCUUGACUUUUUUGGUAAUAAUCUUGAUGACAAAGAGAGCAACGAUCUAUUGUACUAUCAAUGGUCUGAGAUAGAAAAUUUUGAGGAUGUUGACCGGAUGUUCAGAAAUUGUGAUUCAACUUUUGGUCUAGAUAUUGACAAUAAUGUUGAACUGGGCUGGUUUCCAACUUCACAUGCAAUGGAAGGAUCUGAUGAUGCAAUCAAGCCAAGCUUUAACUUUUCAGACUGCAGUACAACUGGACUAGAUGGUGUGACUGAACAGCAAGAAGUGUUUGGGAUGAACAAUGGUUUAGUAGCUGAUGAAAGCGAUGAGAAGCUUACAGUAGUUGACUGUAAGAGAGUAUCAGAGAAGUUGACUGCAAAUGGCCCUUCAACUGUCUUGCAUUCCUCUAACGUUAAUGGAUCCAGUGUUAUUUCUAGUAUUGACAAUGAAUCACAGAUCCAGUCUGGUAUCAGCCAGCCAAAGCAUCAGAAACCAUCAGAAGGGAAAAGAAAAGAGCGCCCUUCAGAUAAUAUUGUCUCUUUCAUUCAAUUUGACAGCCUAAAUCAGGCAGUGGAGUCAAACCAUUCAUUGAACUUCCAAUGUAAUCAAUCUUCCGAAAAUAGUCAACAGAAGGAAGCUUCUCAUUGCACUUCUGCACAGAUACCAAUUCCUUUGGUAAAUCCCAAUGACAGUCGUUUUACUAAUCAAGGUUUACAAAGCACGGCGUCAUCUAUAAUUAAGUCUGAAGAUGGUGGCCUUCCAUCAGUACCCCUAAAAAGGUCUUCAUAUGCAUCCAAUCAGAUGCAAUCAGUGGAGAGAGCUCAUGAUGUUGCUCUCCAGAAUCCUUCAACUCCCAGGAACAAGAAAAAAGACAGGCCAUUUCAAAGCAAAUUAUCUGGACAUCCUGAAAAAGGCAACUUAAUGGUUGAAAAAGCUGAUUCUGAUCCAAUUUGUGUACAGAAGCUAUGUGAUCUUGAAAAUGAAGCUGAAGGUCAAAGUGAAGUCGAUGAUGAAGCUGGCAUUGCAACAGAGUUGGACUCAUCUAACAUACAGGAAAGUUCUUGUAUGAGCUCAGUCUUGGAUGAAGUCUCAAUUGAUGCUAGUAGUUUUCAACAACUACAAAAUGUCAUGGAGAAGCUAGACGUAAGGACAAAAAUGUGCAUAAGAGACAGUCUCUAUCGGUUGGCCAGGAGUGCUGAGCGAAGGCAUAAGUGUGUCAACCCUAUUGGUGGUGACAAAGAUGAUAAAGAUACAAGUGGAGCUUUUCUAUCUGAUGGAACAAAUAAAUGCACAGGAUUUAUGGAUAUGGAAACUGAUACGAAUCCCAUUGAUCGAUCAAUAGCGCACUUGUUGUUUCAUAGGCCGUCAGACCCGUCUGCAACAGCUCCUUUGGAUGCUCUGCCUGUGAAAGCUCACACUAUGGGUCAGGCACGUAGUCAUGGUCCAUUGAUAGCAGAGAAACCUGCUUUUCGAGAAGAAACUACUUCAGCUAAUGGUGAAGCUGCUGAACACUGAUUUUGAAAGCUGAUGUGCAAACAAAUUCCUCUACGAGGUCCCUGAGAGCAAGUGGCUUCAGUCCUGAAAGUUUGGCAUACUGUCCUGUAGUUCUUCAUGACCUGCCCAGUUAUGCAGGGAGAGGAUGUCGGCAACUUCUUCUGGCUUAAAAGGCUUGAGUUUCAGACUACUGUUUGAGGGAAGAUGCUGAUCAGAAGCCUCCAAAAUACAGAUGGAUUCUAAAUCACUGCAUUCAGCAACUUAUUGUGUACAUUUUAUUUUUGGCAUCAUAUGUACAUUGACUUUAGGGAGAUACCAUGUUCAAAUUUGAAUUUGUUUCGCAAAUGUUCAAAUUUGGCUAGCUAAUGUCUUCUUGUAGCUGUAUUUUGUUGCAUUACCUGCUAUUAAAAAUAACCGAGUUCGACAUGCUUA